rnacentral:rRNA from 1 species
UGGGCGUAAGGGCUCGCAGGCGGUUUCUUAAGUCUGAUGUGAAAGCCCCCGGCUCAACCGGGGAGGGUCAUUGGAAACUGGGGAACUUGAGUGCAGAAGAGGAGAGUGGAAUUCCACGUGUAGCGGUGAAAUGCGUAGAGAUGUGGAGGAACACCAGUGGCGAAGGCGACUCUCUGGUCUGUAACUGACGCUGAGGAGCGAAAGCGUGGGGAGCGAACAGGAUUAGAUACCCUGGUAGUCCACGCCGUAAACGAUGAGUGCUAAGUGUUAGGGGGUUUCCGCCCCUUAGUGCUGCAGCUAACGCAUUAAGCACUCCGCCUGGGGAGUACGGUCGCAAGACUGAAACUCAAAGGAAUUGACGGGGGCCCGCACAAGCGGUGGAGCAUGUGGUUUAAUUCGAAGCAACGCGAAGAACCUUACCAGGUCUUGACGUCGUCGGACAAUCCUAGAGAUAGGACGUCCCCUUCGGGGGCAGAGUGACAGGUGGUGCAUGGUUGUCGUCAGCUCGUGUCGUGAGAUGUUGGGUUAAGUCCCGCAACGACCGCAACCCUUGAUCUUAGUUGCCAGCAUUCAGCUGGGCACUCUACGGUGACUGCCGGU